UGCCAGGCUAAUGACUUUUUAACUUUGUAUUUAGUUCUUCUAGCAAAUGUCAGCCUCCUAACAGGCAAAACUUGGUGGUGGAUGGUAGACUCGGUAAACACUUUACCUGCUGAGCAUCAGCUGAAGUGUUGUUAUUGGUUGAUACAGAAGGUCGAUGGUGAUGGUGUGUCUCUUAUCCAACAGGCUCCACUGAUUACAUCUGCUUUGCCCCAGUGGGAACCAAUGAUCCAGUUACUUCUGCUUUACACAUCAUAGUGGGCGAGUAAAAUUAUGAAUAGACUCGCAGCACCUAACAUGGCAGGUUGGCAUAACGUUUAAAUGUCAUGCUAUCAAUGAUGUGUUUGUUAAGACAACCUUUGAGUCUUUUAGUACAGCAGCUGGUUGUAGUUUCCUGUUCAUGUGCAUGUUGGGAGAGUCGGCUUUCUAUCCCUUGGUGCAUCUUAACAGGAGAUUCCCAACCGAUGGACGUGUGUUCAGUUCAUCACGAAGACAUCUUCCUUAGAUACUCUGUCUCGUUGCUUAGCUACAGUUUCAGCCAGAAAAAGUGAUGGCUGGGACCUGCGAGAUAUGACCUGUCAGGUAUGAGGGCCAUUAUUUUCUAAACUUGCGUGACUCUUCAGGCUAAGCCUACCCACACAUGUUAACCUUUUUCCCAAAACUCUUAGCUCACUGACCUCGUAGCUCACUGACCUUACACAGGGUAUUUUUAAUGUGAGGUAACCUUGAGCUUACCCCCGAGCUGUCUGGUCCUGCUCCGGGUCCAGACUUUGGAGGAUUAAGAUAUAAAUCUAACACACAGCCGAAAGCUUGUGGGUUUCGGUACAAGCAUUUGUGUGGCUCAGUAGUAGGACUCGACAACACAGAAAAGCUCGCCAAGAUGUUUCUUGCCAGUGAAGCUAAACGCUCGCACAGUGUAAGGAGCCUUCAAUAAACGCGUAAACCUUAAAAUCGGAGUUAUACAACUGAGCUAAAUUACUGAUGCCAACUGCACUGAUAACUAUUAACCAAAAAAACCCUGAAAAGUACAGGAUAAUAUGUGAAUGAAAAUGUCCCCAGUGUGACAUAUGUAAGACUUUUCCAUUGUGAAGUCAUAAUAUACUAGACUACUAGCUAGCUGUAUGUAUGAAGCUGUAUGUAGGCACAGCAGUGGUCUGCUCACAUCACAAGGACAGGGCUAAAAACCUAAUGUUAAGUAGUUAGCAUUUAUUUCAUUUUUUAUUAAUCAGGCCCCUGGGCUAACCAACACAAAAAAUAUUUUAAGUAAAAUUGUUUGUUAUUUUUACUACAGCUUAUUUCUGAAUGUAUUGUUUUUUUAUUUUUUUAAACAUCCUUGAGAAAAUAGAGAAAUUAGCAGAGAAAGAUAAUGCGGAUAUGUCACUUUAAGAACUAUAAUUAGGUGUAAAUUAAACACAACAAAUAAUAAUAAAUAUUGACAUGCAUUUUGUGGCCCGCAAUCUGUUUGUGUUCAAGGCGUAAAAACCUUUCUGAGUCACAACUACUAUGAAGGCACAAUCUCUUUCCUCCCUGCUGAGAACAACAUCGGGGACCCCAGGGACAAGCUUCAGUGUGGAUCCGGGUGCCACGUUUGUCAGCACAAGCCCUCGUCAAAAGACGUGCAGAGGGAGAUGUCACAGGAGAAGGAAAAGUCUGACAAAGUUUGACCACUCAAGGUCCACCGGGUGAGGACGUUUUUUUUCCCGCCGCGGCACAAUGACGUGGUUUCAAUAGAGGACCCGAUGGAGAGUCCGAAGAAAGACGAUGAGAUCCUGCCUGACGCUGCCAUCCAAGUCAGUGUCCAGUGCCAGUUGAUCAGGCUGUUUGCCCAGUAGCAGCAGCAGCAGCAGCAGCAAAAGAGAGAGCGAUUUGCUCUUGGAACGACUUUCCUGGAAAUCACAUCACUGGAAAUCCCAAACGCCGAGGUCACAUCCCUCCUCAUUGUGUUCUGGUCAAACAAAACUUACUGGAUGUCCUCUCAGUGCAGAGUAAGGGGUGUUAGAACAAGCUGGGAGGGCUCCCAUCAGCAGCCAUAAGGAAGCAAAAAGGCCAAGGAGAAGAUAGAGCUAUAUUGCAUGGUUUAUUGUUAGUGAAGAGAUAGUUAUCUCUCUCGGUGCAACAUUGCCUGAUGCAGCUUUUACAAAUCCAUAACAUCAUAUGCCAAUGCUGCCGUGUAGAAACCUCAGUUUUAAGGAUGAAAGAUUUUGAAGCCCAAAGGAUCUCAAGCCGCCAGAUGAAACGAAUGAACCGGACUGAGCCGGACUUAGCCGAAACAAUCGGUACUGCCAUGAAUGAGAACACAAAUAGGAUUUCUCCCUGUGUAGACAGCUGAGGAGAUACUGCUGGGUGAGAGGGACCAAGAAGAAAGGCCUCUGAAGCACACCUAUGAACUGACAAAAUGCCAAAAGAAGAAAAGGAAAAGAGAAUCAUGAAAACAGAUCUUCCCUCUCUUUGGGUAACGGCCCCCACACCCGUUUCAUCGUUGACCCAGGUAGAAGAAGAUAUGUGCCAGGAGCACUAAUGCAACCAGCGGAAUACCCUGCUAAUACACUAACAGGACCCCGGUGGAUUCUGGGUAAUAAGACAAAGUGGUUGCUAAGUGAUUUGGUGCGUCUCCGCGCUGCUGUGGUGCACCUGUGGCUCUGAGCUCUGCUCCUCCCUGGCCACUACGUCAGGUGACUCAUCACUUGGGAUUAACCAGAUCUACACACAGUUAACUGUAUUAAAGACAAUCUAUUGUGGGGCUCCUGAAUUAGACCCAUUAGACCCAUUAGACCCAUUUGUUUGUAAAGUCAGACCAUCGGGGGAUGCUCCCACUGCAUUAAUGGAAAAAAAGGGUUUUAACACAGUAACAAUACGUCAGGGUGUGUGUGUGUGUGUGUGUGUGAGAUAAAGUGUGUUAUCCACAAUCUUGUCACAUGCGUGUGUAAUCUUUGGAGUGUGUGCGCGUUGAUGUGGUCGUGAAGGUGCCAGCGUGAUGAGCAAUCAACCUCAUGAUAGCCGAUUCGCAGAUGCAUUCUCUGCAAAGACACACACUCCUUAACUUUUACCAGCAUAAAGCCUGUUCCUCUCUAUAAAUCCUUUCCAACUAAGUUAAUUCUGACUCUGGAUUUUUAUUAUGUUUCACCGCCAGUGUCCAUUUUUGUUGGUUUAAUGUUAUUUCUGUAAGUCGGAUGCUUUUAUA